rnacentral:lncRNA from 9 species
GUUGACAUCAUUUAAUUUUCAUUACAAAAUAAAAUCUAUUUUUGCAGAAUGAGCUAUCCCAUAAAAAUGGUAUUUGCGCAAAGGAAAAGUUUGAGUCGAGAGCUAUUACAACAAAUACGACUAAAGUUAGCAUCUCUGACAUCCAAAACAGAUCUUCAAGUAUAAAUACCCAGAAGUGAAAUUGUUGGAUCAUAAAGUCGUGAUCCCAACUUUACAGACAAGGAAGCUUUGGCUGGGAAUGGUUCGGUAAGGAGCCUAAAGCAACGAGUCACAGAACCAACCGGUGUUGGAAACAGUGGUGGCAAGCUCCCCCUGCCCUGCUGCAGGCAUCGCUGGUUGCUUGGAGGACUGAAGAGGCGGUGUGGACAGUUCCGAGGACUGAGAGUUAACCUUGGUGUGGACAUUUGGAUUAAAUGACAUAAAACCUUUAGAAGGCUUUGAAUGAGUUUCUUCAAGAUUGUUACUACCUUUCUCUAAUUCCUCAGCCAGCAAAGUU